GAUGAACGCUGGCGGCGUGCCUAAUACAUGCAAGUCGAACGAGGUUUUGUUGAUUGAAUUCUUCGGAAUGAUUUCUUUAAAGCCGAGUGGCGGACGGGUGAGUAACACGUGGGUAACCUGCCCUUAAGUGGGGGAUAACAUUUGGAAACAGAUGCUAAUACCGCAUAAACCUUCGGACCACAUGGUCCGGAGUUGAAAGGCGGCUUUCGAGCUGUCGCUUUUGGAUGGACCCGCGGCGUAUUAG
rnacentral:rRNA from 1 species